rnacentral:lncRNA from 1 species
GCUAAAGGACUCAUUCAAUAUUUGAAUCAUCUCCUCAAGCUACACAUCCUCAAACUUAUGACUAAGUUCAUCGUUCAUAGAUGCCCUCAUCAUGCAACGUACAGUCAUGCGAUCAUUGCGUCACUUCAUGUAAGUGUCUCUCACAGCACGAGGAGCAUUGACUGUAGGUUCUUCAGGUGCUUGAUCCGUAAGGACAUACAAAAUCCUCUCAUGCUCCAACAUGAUCUUCAACUUUUAAUACCAGCUAUCGAAGUUGGG